rnacentral:rRNA from 1 species
UACGGGGGGGCAAGCGUUGUUCGGAAUUACUGGGCGUAAAGGGCUCUUAGGCUGCCAACUAAGUCAGGGGUGAAAUCCCGCGGCCCAACCGUGGAACUGCCUUUGAUACUGGCGGACUUGAGUGCGUGAGGGGUAGGGGGAACGAGCAGUGUAGCGGUGAAAUGCGUAGAUAUUGCUCGGAAGGCCAGAGCCGAAGGGGCCCUACUGGUACGUAACUGACACUGAGGCACGAAAGCGUGGGGAGCAAACAGG